AUUUUCCUCCCUUUUCAGCAGCCACUCAUUAAAAAGUAAUCACCUCGUACCAGGAGGAUAUGAACAGCCCAAGGUCAGAUCCAUAACUGCGUUCUUUCUGCAGCGCGUACCUGGAGCGCGCGGCCAACACGGUGACCGCCGGGAGCUGAGCGCUGCCCCACUGCUGUGCUCGGGCAGCACUUGGGUCACCCUAUGGGGACACCGCUCUCCAUCAACUCCAAGAACCCACAGCACUGAAGGUGUUCACCAGUUAUUUUCACUUUGCGGAUUUAUGAUUUUCAUCUUGCUGCUACGUCACAGCGUGAAGCUGCCAAGUGCAAGAUAAAACCGUAAGACACAGGCAAACAGCAUUGCCACACACAGACCCAGCAGGACAAGGAGCAGAGCUGGGUGCAACCCCACCGCUGGGAACGUCCCCUCGCCACCGCAGACAAUGCCAGCCCACAGCUGAUGCCGUCGCUUUGGGAACGCGGAGGGAGAUUAAUGACAGCGAGCAGCUGAGAGCCACCGAGCAGGGGAUGGGGAGCGGGCUGCGAUGUCCCUGCUGCCACGAGCCCCGUCCCCGCUCCGCGCCGCCGCACCUCUCCUCUAUUUACACAGCAAAUUCUUU
rnacentral:lncRNA from 1 species